rnacentral:rRNA from 1 species
CCUACGGGAGGCAGCAGUGGGGAAUAUUGCACAAUGGGGGAAACCCUGAUGCAGCGACGCCGCGUGAGUGAAGAAGUAAUUCGUUAUGUAAAGCUCUAUCAGCAGGGAAGAAAAUGACGGUACCUGAGUAAGAAGCCCCGGCUAACUACGUGCCAGCAGCCGCGGUAAUACGUAGGGGGCAAGCGUUAUCCGGAUUUACUGGGUGUAACGGGAGCGUAGACGGCAGUGCAAGUCUGGAGUGAAAGGCGGGGGCUCAACCCCCGGACUGCUCUGGAAACUGUACGGCUGGAGUGCAGGAGAGGUAAGUGGAAUUCCUAGUGUAGCGGUGAAAUGCGUAGAUAUUAGGAUGAACACCAGUGGCGAAGGCGGCUUACUGGACUGUAACUGACGUUGAGGCUCGAAAGCGUGGGGAGCAAACAGGAUUAGAUACCCCAGUAGUC